AUCCUAUUUGCUUCAAGGCUCAGGCUCAGGACACCCCUCAACGCUUCCCAUCCUUCUAUCCUCUCUGCUUUUCCUCUGAAUGGUUCCCCAGAAAGGGAAGGAAAGACGACAUUGGAGGGUGCCAAAGGUUAAGUUGUAAUUUGAAACAAUCAUGUGGACUCAAACGGCCUGAGACUGUGGAUAUGCAGAAGACAGCACCCAAGUAUUAGGCGUCACCUGAGAAAGUGGAUUGGAAGGAUGAUUUUUGUUGAAACCUAAACUUAGAAGACGACUCAUCCUUACAGUUUCUGCUUUUUAGUUGACUUCGUGUAACCAGGAUCGAUGCAUAAUUGGAGUCUGCAAUCAUAUGUCGGAGGUGAUCUUGAUCAGUCGACAAAUUAUAAUUAGAAGACGAUGAUUUAAAUGUCACAGAUAGAGAAGGUGCGAGAAGAUAAUUAAAUAAGCAUGAUUUGUAAUGGCGCUGUCUCUUGAUCCAUUAUUCUUUUACAUCCCGGAGAUUAUAUUGACGGCAAGCGAAAAUGCCUUGUUUUGGAUAGGCCACUGAAC